UACAAAGGUCCCAAGCGUUGUUCGGAUUCACUGGGCGUAAAGGGUGCGUAGGUGGUGAGGUAAGUCGGAUGUGAAAUCUCCAAGCUCAACUUGGAAACUGCAUUGGAAACUACCUUGCUAGAGGAUUUGAGGGGGGAUUGGAAUACUUGGUGUAGCAGUGAAAUGCGUAGAUAUCAGGAGGAAUCCCGGUGGGGUAGCCGGCUCUCUGGGCCGCCACUGACGCUGAGACACGAAAGCGUGGGUAGCAAACAGG
rnacentral:rRNA from 1 species